rnacentral:lncRNA from 1 species
UGAUGUUUUGGUUAUAAUAAUAAUUGUUGGGGUUCGACAUCCCAAAAUGAUGAUAUGGCUAUGAGGGACGCCGUAGUGGAGGGCUCCGGAAGUUUCGACCACCUGGGAUUCUUUAACGUGCAGCUAAAUCUAAGUACACAAGCCUUUAGUAUUUUUGCCUCCAUCGAAAAUG